rnacentral:rRNA from 1 species
UACGUAGGGUGCAAGCGUUGUCCGGAAUUAUUGGGCGUAAAGAGCUCGUAGGCGGCUUGUCACGUCGACUGUGAAAACCCUGGGCUUAACCCUGGGCUUGCAGUGGAUACGGGCAGACUAGAGGCAGGUAGGGGAGAAUGGAAUUCCCGGUGUAGCGGUGAAAUGCGCAGAUAUCGGGAGGAACACCGGUGGCGAAGGCGGUUCUCUGGGCCUGACCUGACGCUGAGGAGCGAAAGCGUGGGGAGCGAACAGG